GGCCGCUUGGCUCAGCGGUAGAGCACUCGCCUCACACGCGAGGGGUCGAUGGUUCGAAUCCAUCAGCGGCCACCA
rnacentral:tRNA from 2 species